ensembl:lncRNA
AUGGAAAAUAUAGAAAAUUUCAAAGAACAUAUAAAUAUAGGAAAUAUAAAAAAACUUUCUUUAAAUUUAUUAUUUUAUUUACAAGUUAGAAUAAAUUUUAAUGAAGUAAAUUUUAAUUUAAAUGCUAACAAAUAUAAUAAAAUUUGUAAUUAUAUAUUACUAUUUCAAAAUGAAUAUACUGUUAAAUAUGUUAUAAAAUUAAAUGAAAUAAAUAGUUUAACUUUAGAUUAUAAAAAAUAUAUAUAUUUAAAAAUGAAAAAAACAAAACAUGGAUAUUCUUUGGAGAGACAUACACAGGGAGAGAAAUAUGGAUACCUUCCAAAACAACAUUCUUUUACAAACAGAAUAAUAGAUUUAUAUCAUAAUUAUGAUUUAUUAUUACCUUAUAAUAAGAGCGAGACGUAUAACGGUUUGAAUAUGGAAUAUAACCAUUUUAAAAAUUGUUAUAACAAUCAAAAAAAUUAUUACAUGCUUGAUUCGGUUGUAGAUAAAAACGAAAAUAUUGUUGAUUACGGUAGUAACUACAAUAGUAACUACAAUAACAUGUACAAUAACAUGGGAAAUAACAUGGGAAAUAACAAAAGCAAUAAUAACUAUUCAAACAUAAACGAAAUAUUUAAUAUAAAUUUUGAUCCCUUUUAUAAAGAACAUAAUAAACAGAACCCGUUACCUUUGUUAAAUGAUUCUAUAAACGUACUAACAACAGAUGUGAACAAUAUCGACUAUGUUAGCAUUAACAGUAUUGUUCCAAUGUACACAAACAGCACCAGUAAUAAUAUUAAUAAUAACCACAGUAGUAGUAGUAUUAGUUGUAGUAGUAAUAACUAUAAAAAAAAAAUACUUUCUUUUUGUUAUAACGAUAUGUAUAAAGAAGCAGACGACUUAGAUGCCAUACUCGAUUUAUGGAUACCCCAUAAUCACAAUUUUAAUAAAAAUGAAGAAAAAAAUAUUUAUAUUAAAGAUGUAAAUUCAGAAACUAUAAUUAAAUUAAACGAACCAAACAUAAUCAAAGAGGAGCCACAAACUGACUACCCUACUUUGAAUAGUAAUAAUAAUAGUAGUAAUAAUAAUAAUAAUAGUAGUAGUGGUGAUAAUAAAUAUGUACUAGUAGAAAAAAAUGAAAAAGAAAAAAAUUUCCUUUGGAGCAAGUCAUAUAUGAACGAUACAUACAAUUUAAAAAAAUUAAAAAGAAAUAUUAUAAAAAAUAAAAAAGAAAAAUAUAAAAAUAAUUUUUUAAUUGUACUGAAUAGUAUAUAUAUAUCAUUACAUCGAAAUAUUAUAUACAGUUUAAAUAAUAGGUUAGAAGAAUAUAGACAUAUUAUUAUGAAAAAGUUUUUUUAUUUGUAUUGGAAUAAUGUUAGUAGUGGUAAUACAUUCGGAGAGAGUAUCAAAUAUGGAAAUUCUUAUUCGGAUAAUAAUUUUUUUUUAUAUAAAAUUUGUAUUCACAAUAUAAUGUCUUGCUUACUUGGUUAUGAUAGUUAUAUGUUCCCAUGUCUUUACAACUUAAAUAUGAAUAACAAAAAAAAAAAAAAAAGAAAAAAAAAAAAAAAAAAAAUUAUGUAUGGUCAUAUUUAUACUAAAAAUACAUACCAUUUUUAUAAUAAAGAAUUAAAAAAAAUAAAAAAUGGAAAUAUAUAUAUUAACAAAAAUAUAAUAUGUGUAGAUAAAAAUAUAGCUAUUUGGAAAAAAAAAAAAAACAAACAAUAUAUAUGCUUAUAUUUUAAACCAUUUGAAAAUUUUUUUGGCUCUAUUUUUUAUCAAAAAUAUUUUCAUAUAUUUCAAUACUUUGCUAAAAUUGGAACUCUUGUUAGGUACGUUAAACUGUUUGUUUAUGUGUUUUCAAAAAUUGUAUAUGAACAGGAAAAAAAAAAUAAAGGUAAAAAAAAAUUACCACUGCACUGUGUAUCUAGCUCCGAAAGAACUCAUUUGUAUGUUAAAUUGUUGAAUAGUAACGAGAUUACAGAAAAUGGAAAAAAAAAAAAAAAAAAAAAAAAAAAUAUAUCAAAAUAUAUCAAUUACAGUAAUGACAGCAAUGACGACAGCAAUGACGACAGUAAUAACGACAGUAAUAACGACAGUAAUAACGACAGUAAUGAUGACAAUGAUAAAACUCGUAAUAGGCGUGGUAGGUGUAGCAAAGUACAUUCGAACAGUUUCGAUCGAAAAAAUGAGACAAAAAAAUAUACACAUUCUGUCACUUUUAACGAUGACAUAAUACCUCUUGGUGAUAUAUUUGUUACGUAUGUUAAUUGUAUAAAAAAUUAUAUACUGUUGUAUGAAUAUAAAAUAAGAAAGGUAUUUACUAAUGCGGCUAGUAUAAUUGAUUUUAAUAAUAUUAAUAUAUACAAAAACCUAAACCCACUAGUUAUUUAUAACAAAAUUAAGAAGUAUUGUGAGUGUAUUGAAUUUUUAAGCUUCCUUUGUUCCAGUUAUAUAUAUAACAACGAUAUAUUCUAUAAAAGGUAUUUUACUUUUUAUCAAACUGAGAAAACUCAUUUACAUUGCAACAAUAAUAACGAUUAUUUUUUUAAUAAAAAAAAAAAAAGACAAACAGAAGAAUAUAAUUACAUUUCGAACACAAUUUAUGGUUUAUCCCAUGAAUACCACGAACAUCGUGAAACAUAUAAUUUAAAAAAAGAAAAACAAAACAAAAACAAAAAACAAAAACCCAAACCAAAACCAAAACCAAAACCAAAACCAAAUAAAAACAAACUUACCGUUACCGUUGUCAAAAAAUGA